GCUGAUAUAGCUCAGCUGGCAGAGCACGUCCUUGGUAAGGACGAGGUCACGCGUUCGAAUCGCGUUAUCAGCUCCA
rnacentral:tRNA from 1 species